rnacentral:rRNA from 1 species
UAAUACGGAGGGUGCAAGCGUUAAUCGGAAUUACUGGGCGUAAAGCGCACGCAGGCGGUUUGUUAAGUCAGAUGUGAAAUCCCCGGGCUCAACCUGGGAACUGCAUCUGAUACUGGCAAGCUUGAGUCUCGUAGAGGGGGGUAGAAUUCCAGGUGUAGCGGUGAAAUGCGUAGAGAUCUGGAGGAAUACCGGUGGCGAAGGCGGCCCCCUGGACGAAGACUGACGCUCAGGUGCGAAAGCGUGGGGAGCAAACAGGAUUAGAUACCCUGGUAGUCCACGCCGUAAACGAUGUCGACUUGGAGGUUGUGCCCUUGAGGCGUGGCUUCCGGAGCUAACGCGUUAAGUCGACCGCCUGGGGAGUACGGCCGCAAGGUUAAAACUCAAAUGAAUUGACGGGGGCCCGCACAAGCGGUGGAGCAUGUGGUUUAAUUCGAUGCAACGCGAAGAACC